rnacentral:lncRNA from 1 species
GGGUUAUUGCUGAAGGACCAAGUCUUUUGAAAUUAAGAUCCUUAAGACAACAUUUAGUUUCUAAGUCUUGAAGAACUUUGGUCUUCUGCCCUUGAUCCACAAAAGUACUUUGUGGUUAGAGAGGGUCCUCUGUUCUCUGUUAGUGCUCCUCAUAGCAAGGCAGCAGCAGUUUUCCUUAGUCUCCCGUCCCUCAAAACCGUCUUGUAACGCCAGUACCCUUCCUGACUGUGUUAAAACUCAGAGAAGCUAUGUAUAAUGGUGCACUCUGGGAGGGAACAGCAGGUGGAUUUCUAUACAUUUGAUGCUAGCCUGGUCUUCCUAGCAAAUUCAAGCCAGUCAGAGCUAUAAAGUAAGACCUUGUCUCCAAACAAACAAACAAACAAACAAACAAAAAAACCAAUUGUCAAGAAAGAAACAUGACAGGCUGGGUGUGGUGGCACAUGCCUUUAAUCCCAGCACUCAGGAGGCAGAGGCAGGCAGGCAGAUGGCCAGCCUGGUCUACAGAGUGAGUUCCAGGACAGCCAGAGCUACACAGAGAAACCCUGUCUCGAAAAAAAAAAAAAACAAACAAACAAAAAAACAAAAAAAAAAGAAACAUGACAGAAUAGUACCUAUAGGUUUUCUAAGUUUAAACAUCUGAAUAUUUAUAUAAUUCAAACUUCAGUUAUGCCUCAUAGAAAAAGGUAAUUUUCCAUAUUGUCAUUGUAAAGUAUUAAUUAAAAUGUAAUAUAAAUUUGCACAAACUUUGAGGGUGACUACUGAUGGAGAAUAACCAUUCUUCCUCACACUUUGCAUAUGUCCCCCUUAAAGUUGUGCUAUCACAGAUAGCUGGAGGGAGUAAGUUACACCUUCAAGCCCACCCUACAUAAGAUCUCUCUAAGUGGCCUAGGCUGGCCCUGAGCUGGGACUGUGGCCAUGUGACCCAGCUUUGAGUGUCUGCCCCUUUCCUUGUGCUAGGCUAUACUCCCCCACAGAGAGGCUCCUGAUAGGAAUUCAGGGACCUCCCUGCUCAGCUCCUCCCUCCCUCCAAGGCCUGUCAGGCAGCUAUGUCUGCUCAGAAGUGAGAGCUCUGAGAGUUUGCCUGGUUUGCAAGGGGAAUUGUGUUUCUCGGCUUCCCCCAGUUUUCUGGUUGGGUUUGAGAUACGGGGGGGGGGGGGGGGGGGGAGAAGGGGGGGGCUGUUUGGUUUCCAGUAGUGCCUGGCAGGUUUCCCCACUCCAGAGAGUUUCUUCUUGCCUAGGCCGUCCUGCGCUUGCUGCAGGUUCGCGGAAGUGAGGACUUAUAAUAGUUGUCGUUUCUCAGUUAGUUCCCUACGCGGUGAAGUUAGAGCUGAAGCUUAGUGAUCAAAAACAGGAGGCUUGAUAUUUUAAAUAUAAAGCAGGUCUAGAUACUUGUCUUUCUAUUGCCAAACUUUUGACAAGUGAAAUAGAAUAACCAUUAGGAAAUACAAAAAUAACCAUUUAACAAUACUUUCAAGGGAAAUAAACAUCUUUCUACUUUAAAAUGUAGCUAGGGACAGUAUACAUGGCAGACAUGCUUGUAAUUCCUUGCCCUAGAGGAAUGAGGCAGGAGGAUAACUGCAAGUUUGAGGCCAGCCUGUGCUGUGUAGCAGAACCCUGUCAGCAGUGGGCUGACGGGAACUCCAGAAGGAAGGUGGGCUCUCACCACAAUAUGGGACAAGGCAGGCAAGAGGAACAGGUGCCUUCUGUGGUCGUUAGAGAAAGGCGGGCAGGACGGGAGAGAAGGAACCUUGUACACAGCACAGCUCUGUAGCACCAAAGCUGAGUAGUACGCAGCAUGGCCCUUCAGCCAGGGAAGGCCUCUUGAUUUUCUGAUUUCAAUAUUUUCCCCUUUCAC